rnacentral:lncRNA from 1 species
UGCAGUCAGACGAGAUUGUGCCACUGCACUCCAGCCUGGGCAACAGAAAGAGACUCUAAGAAAAAAAAAAAAAUUACAAACCAGAAUUCCUCCACACCCAAAGAACUGUGAGAAUCCUGACCAGCAGGGAAGAGGCCAUCAGCAGACACCAAGGUUGAGAAGGCGUUGAAAUGACAGAAAGACUGACAAAAUCUGUUUUUUAAAAUUUUACUCAUUUAAAAAUUUUUUCUUGAGACAAGGUCUUGCUCUGUCACCCAGGAUGGAGUGCAGUGGCGUAAUCUUAACUCACUGUAGCCUUGAAUUCUCGGGCUCAAGUGAUCCUCCUGCCCCAGCGUCCCAAGCAGCUGACACCACAGGCACGCACCACCACCACACCCCAUUAAUUUUUUUUUUACUUUUUGUAGAGACAGAUAUUCGGGCGCCCCCAGUCUAGCCACACGUAUGCCCCCCAGUGGUGGUUCUGGGAAUGACCAAGGUUGGCUGCUGAAGUCAGUUGUCUGGGUGAGUCAGAGUGAGACACACAGACACACUCACAGGCCAGAAAGCAGGGGUGACAGAGCGCACAGAGACGUGGGAGAUUUGGCAGCGGGAGGGGAGCUGACCCGCCUGCCUGCAGGCACCAGGACAGGUGCAGGGAGCCAUCGGGGCCAUCUUGCCCCUUUCAGGGACAGGUUUUAUGUUUGCUGUCUCCUGCCCCCACAGAGGCAAUGCUAACAGCAAGGGUGUGACCGCCACAGCUCCCUCCACCAUUCCGAUCAUGUCUACAUUAUUGAUUCCUGCUCACGGGGGUUUUACCUUACAGACAGGAAUCACACCUCUGCUUGCCCUUAGACACUCCUGCACCCUGGCGGGAGGUCUCCACACAGCCCCCAGACCACACCCCAGGUCUCAAGGGUGGCUGCUCUGCUGGGUGCACAUCCGGCCACGGGGCCACCCGGGGGGCCACUUGGGGUUGUGUAGUGAGCGUGGAAGUGCAGACCUGGGGGUCUGCACUUGAGAGCAGGGCAGGCAGGUCGCUGGGGCAGGUGGCAGGAGACAUUGCACAUCGAUGUGAAGCGUGACCCAGUCACUUGGAACAGCUGGACCUGUUGCAUCUUCCUCCUUAGCAAUAAGCCUCGUGAGCAUCGGAUCCUUCCAGAAAAGCCAUUGUGCGAUCGGGCCACACCCAGAUUAGCGGGCACAGCACAGCGGGGCAGUAGACACCCUCAGAAAAGGUGCCAGGGGGCGGCUGGGGCUGGACGGGCUUGUGCACUCAUCAGUCACACUACUUUUAAGAGCUGUUACCAGAUUACCUUAAAAAAAAAAGCUGUAACAGGCUGAGGAGGCAGGAGGAUUGCUCGAGGCCAGGAGUUUGAGACUAGCCUGGGCAACAGAGUGAGACCCUGUCUCUACAAAACAUAAAAGAAUUAGCCAGGCGUGGUGAUGCCUGUAGUCCCAGCUACUCCGGAGGCUGAGCGGGUGGGAGAAUCGCUUGAGCCCAGGAGGUCAAGACAGCGGUGAGCCCCAGCCUGCGCGACAGAUCAAAACCCUCUCAAAUUGAAAAGGGGGUUACCUCGUCGCUUUCAUUGGCCUUUCCAUGAUUCCUGAUGGGAUGAGGACUUUCUUCAUGGAAUUACCAGCCAGUUUCCUGCUCUGCGAAUGAUUUCUCCACAUCUCUGCUCACUUUUCCAUAUCGGUUUUUGUCAUUUUCUUUAGCAACAUAUAAAAACUCUUUAAAUAUUAAGGACCUUAAUCACUCCCAUGUGUGGCAAAUAUUUCUUAUUUCUUCCCCAACU